GAUGAACGCUGGCGGCGUGCCUAAUACAUGCAAGUCGAGCGAACAGAUGAGGAGCUUGCUCCUCUGACGUUAGCGGCGGACGGGUGAGUAACACGUGGAUAACCUACCUAUAAGACUGGGAUAACUUCGGGAAACCGGAGCUAAUACCGGAUAAUAUAUUGAACCGCAUGGUUCAAUAGUGAAAGACGGUUUUGCUGUCACUUAUAGAUGGAUCCGCGCCGCAUUAGCUAGUUGGUAAGGUAACGGCUUACCAAGGCAACGAUGCGUAGCCGACCUGAGAGGGUGAUCGGCCACACUGGAACUUAGACACGGUCUAGACUCCUACGGGAGGCAGCAGUAGGGAAUCUUCCGCAAUGGGCGAAAGCCUGACGGAGCAACGCCGCGUGAGUGAUGAAGGUCUUCGGAUCGUAAAACUCUGUUAUUAGGGAAGAACAAAUGUGUAAGUAACUAUGCACGUCUUGACGGUACCUAAUCAGAAAGCCACGGCUAACUACGUG
rnacentral:rRNA from 1 species